rnacentral:rRNA from 1 species
AGAAGGAACAUCAAUGGCGAAGGCAGCUUUCUGGACCAAUACUGACGCUGAGGUACGAAAGCGUGGGUAGCAAACAGGAUUAGAUACCCUGGUAGUCCACGCCGUAAACGAUGAUAACUAGCCGUUGGGGGGAUUUACCCUUUAGUGGCGAAGCUAACGCGUUAAGUUAUCCGCCUGGGGAGUACGGCCGCAAGGUUAAAACUCAAAGGAAUUGACGGGGACCCGCACAAGCGGUGGAGCAUGUGGUUUAAUUCGAUGCAACGCGAAGAACCUUACCUGGUCUUGACAUCCUGAGAACUUUCUAGAAAUAGAUUGGUGCCUUCGGGAACUCAGUGACAGGUGCUGCAUGGCUGUCGUCAGCUCGUGUCGUGAGAUGUUGGGUUAAGUCCCGUAACGAGCGCAACCCCUAUCCUUAUUUGCCAGCACAUCAUGGUGGGAACUAUAAGGAGACUGCCGGUGAUAAACCGGAGGAAGGCGGGGACGACGUCAAGUCAUCAUGGCCCUUACGACCAGGGCUACACACGUGCUACAAUGGGAAGGACAAUGAGCCGCGAAGCCGCGAGGUGUAGCUAAUCUCAGAAACCUUUUCGUAGUCCGGAUUGGAGUCUGCAACUCGACUCCAUGAAGUCGGAAUCGCUAGUAAUCGUAGAUCAGAAUGCUACGGUGAAUACGUUCCCGGGUCUUGUA